rnacentral:rRNA from 1 species
AUUGAACGCUGGCGGCAUGCCUUACACAUGCAAGUCGAACGGCAGCACGGGAGCAAUCCUGGUGGCGAGUGGCGAACGGGUGAGUAAAGCAUCGGAACGUACCUGGUAGUGGGGGAUAGCCCGGCGAAAGCCGGAUUAAUACCGCAUACGACCUGAGGGUGAAAGCGGGGGAUCGCAAGACCUCGCGCUAUUGGAGCGGCCGAUGUCAGAUUAGCUAGUUGGUGGGGUAAAGGCCUACCAAGGCGACGAUCUGUAGCUGGUCUGAGAGGACGACCAGCCACACUGGGACUGAGACACGGCCCAGACGCCUACGGGAGGCAGCAGUGGGGAAUUUUGGACAAUGGGCGCAAGCCUGAUCCAGCCAUGCCGCGUGCGGGAAGAAGGCCUUCGGGUUGUAAACCGCUUUUGUCAGGGAAGAAAUCUUCUGGGUUAAUACCUCGGGAGGAUGACGGUACCUGAAGAAUAAGCACCGGCUAACUACGUGCCAGCCGCCGCGGUAAAAC